rnacentral:rRNA from 1 species
AGAGUUUGAUUAUGGCUCAGGAUGAACGCUGGCGGCGUGCUUAACACAUGCAAGUCGAACGAGGUCCAACCUUCGGGUGAAGACCGAGUGGCGAACGGGUGAGUAACACGUGGGGAACCUGCCCUUCUCUCUGGGAUAACCUCGGGAAACCGAAGCUAAUACCGGAUACUCCUUGCGGACCGCAUGGUCUGCUCGGGAAAGCUCCGGCGGAGAAGGAUGGCCCCGCGGCCCAUUAGCUUGUUGGUGGGGUAACGGCCCACCAAGGCGACGAUGGGUAGCCGAGCUGAGAGGCUGAUCGGCCACACUGGGACUGAGACACGGCCCAGACUCCUACGGGAGGCAGCAGUGGGGAAUCUUGCGCAAUGGGCGAAAGCCUGACGCAGCAACGCCGCGUGCGGGAUGAAGGCUCUCGGGUCGUAAACCGCUUUCGGCAGGGAUGAAAAUGACAGUACCUGCAGAAGAAGCCCCGGCUAAAUACGUGCCAGCAGCCGCGGUAAUACGUAUGGGGCAAGCGUUAUCCGGAUUCAUUGGGCGUAAAGCGCGCGUAGGCGGCUUGUUAAGUCAGGCGUGAAAUCCGGGGGCUCAACCCGCGGCUUGCGUCUGAAACUGGCAGGCUUGAGUCUGGUAGAGGAAAGUGGAAUUCCUGGUGUAGCGGUGAAAUGCGCAGAUAUCAGGAGGAACACCAGUGGCGAAGGCGGCUUUCUGGGCCACGACUGACGCUGAGGCGCGAAAGCUAGGGGAGCGAACAGGAUUAGAUACCCUGGUAGUC